rnacentral:misc_RNA from 1 species
ACGAGUUAGGGUCUCCUAGGCCCGACCUCCCAACCCUUUGUUUACUAGACCUCUGUUGCUUUGGCGGACCCGUCUCAGACAUGGGACCGCCAGAGGAUCGCCUACCUGGGCGUCCUCUGGCCCGUUGUCCGCCGACAGCCAAUUCUCCCAUCUCUGGAAUAAUCAUGAUAUAUUGUCUAAGUGAAUUUAUUCAAUUAAAAAGCAA